CUGUCUCAAAAAAAAAAAAAAGUACCAUACCAAUGUAAGAUGUUAAUAGGGAAAACUGAAUACAGGAUAAUGAGAAUUCUGUGUAUUACCUUUGCCAAUUUGCUGUAAAUCUAAAACUGUUCUACAAAAUAAAGUUUAUUAGGAAAGAUGGACAGAGGAUCUGAUUAGACAUUUCUCCAAAGAAGAUAUGCAGAUGGCUAAUAAGCAUAUGAGAGAAUGGUCACCAUCAUUAGCUAUCAGGGAAAUACAAAUCAAAACCACAAUGAAGGGGGAGGAAGGUAGAUGGGAAGAGAUAAUUGUCAAAGAAUACAAAGCUUCAGUUAGACUGGAGGAAUAACUUUUAGUGAUCUAUUGCACAGCAUAGUGAUUAUAAAUAGUAAUACAUUGUAUGUUUCAAAACUGCUAUAACAGUAGAUUUUAUUUAAAAUUUGCAAAAAACAAUGUGUGAGGUGAUGGAUUUGUUAAUUAACCUGAUUUAGUCAUCUCACAUUGUGAAUGUAUCAAUCAAAACAUCACAUUGUACCCCAUAAAUAUACGCAAUCGUUAUUAAUUUUGAAAAGCCACAAUGAAUUACUGCUUUUCAGCCACCAGGAUCGCUGUAUAAAAAAAGAUAGGCCAUUUUGCUCACGUGGAAGCUCCACGGUAGGGUGGGAGCCCAACCAGGAUCUCCGCGGGCUGUGCGGCCGCCAUGCUGUCAUCCCCACGGGUGGCGGUGGUGUGCUCGAGCAGCCAGAACCAGAGCAUGGAGGCGCACAACAUCCUCAGCAAACGAGAAGUCAGCGUCCGAUCCUUUGGAACAGGAACUCAGGUGAAGCUUCCAGGACCAGCUCCCGGCAAGCCCAGUGUUUAUGAUUUCAAAACCACAUAUGGCCAGAUGUACAAUGAUCUCCUUAGGAAAGACAAAGAACUCUAUACAUAGAAUGGCAUUUUGCAUAUGCUGGACAGAAAUAAGCGAAUCAAGCCCCGCCAGAAAGGUUCCAGAACUACAAAGCCCUGUUUGAUCUGAUCCUCACUUGAGGUGGUGGAAGAUCUGAAUUCCAGAGAACAGGAGACCUGCCAGCUAGUGCAAGUGGUCAACGUGGACAUCCAGGACAACCACGAGGAGGCCACCCUGGGGGCGUUGCUCAUCUGUGAGCUCUGCCAGUAUAUCCAGCCCAAGGAGGACACGGAGAGCAAGACUGAGGAGCUGCUGCAGGAGUUCAAGAAGAGCAGGCAUACCUUCCUGCACACCUGCCCCCUCCCGGGCCGAGGGCUGCCUUCUCCAGCUUCCUUUUGUUCAUACUUUUUCCUUCCUGCCGUUUGUUUUUGCUUAUAGGUGUUCUGCUGGUGACAGUAGCGUUACCCAAAUAAACUGUGCAUAUGAAACGGGAGGAGGAGAGGUCUAAAUGCCACAUUAAAGCCAUCAGGUUUUUUCCGUCCCACUUUUACUUAUGAGCAGGAUAUUGAUUAUAGUUUUCUUCUUUAACCAAAAAGGAAAGACAGUGGUUUGUGUUCACUUCCCCACCAUCCCUGUGUCUCCGUGAGCCCCCUCCGUCCCUCCUCCCCACCUGGCCAGACUGUACAUACCCUGCUGUGGUGUGUUAGGAAUGACCUGGAAUUGUCCAAUAGACAGUGCUGUC